UCAGACGAUGCGUCAUGCAUAUCAAUAAGCGGAGGAAAAGAAACUAACAAGGAUUCCCUUAGUAACGGCGAGUGAAGCGGGAAGAGCUCAAAUUUGAAAUCUUCAAGGUUUUACCUUGACGAAUUGUAGUUUAAAGAAGUGUUUUCGGUUAGAGGAGUGGUAAAAGUUCUUUGGAAUAGGACAUCAUAGAGGGUGAGAAUCCCGUAUUUGACCAUUCUUUCUAGCUUUGUGAUACACUUUCAAAGAGUCGGAUUGUUUGGGAAUGCAGUCCAAAAUGGGUGGUAAAUUUCAUCUAAAGCUAAAUAUUGGCGAGAGACCGAUAGCGAACAAGUACCGUGAGGGAAAGAUGAAAAGAACUUUGAAAAGAGAGUUAAACAGUACGUGAAAUUGUCAAAAGGGAAGCGUUUGACACCAGUGUUGUUUUUCCGAAAAUCAAUUAAAAAUGGAUUCAUGCCAAGUUGUAUUGACCUUAUCAGCUUGCAAUUUGGUUUUGGGUUCCUUUUUGAUGCACUUUUCGGUUAACAAGUCAACAUCAAUUUCCUUUGCUGUAAAAGGGCAGAAGGAAGGUGGCUUCAAUUUCGGUUGAAGUGUUUAUAGCCUUUUGUCUCUGCAGUCGGGGAGAUUGAGGUCUGCAGCGUAGAUCCUUCGGGGUUAGAUACAUUCGUGCUAAGUUAUAGCCUUUUAUAGACAACUUGUUGACUAUGAUCGGUCAUUGUAAUUUACUCGCGAGUGCUAUUUUACCUACGCUUAGGAUGUUGAUAUGCAUGACUGAUA
rnacentral:rRNA from 1 species